GACGAACGCUGGCGGCGUGCUUAACACAUGCAAGUCGAACGGAAAGGCCCUGCUUUUGUGGGGUGCUCGAGUGGCGAACGGGUGAGUAACAUGUGAGUAACCUGCCCUUGACUUUGGGAUAACUUCAGGAAACUGGGGCUAAUACCGGAUAGGAGCUCCUGCUGCAUGGUGGGGGUUGGAAAGUUUCGGCGGUUGGGGAUGGACUCGCGGCUUAUCAGCUUGUUGGUGGGGUAGUGGCUUACCAAGGCUUUGACGGGUAGCCGGCCUGAGAGGGUGACCGGCCACAUUGGGACUGAGAUACGGCCCAGACUCCUACGGGAGGCAGCAGUGGGGAAUAUUGCACAAUGGGCGGAAGCCUGAUGCAGCAACGCCGCGUGCGGGAUGACGGCCUUCGGAUUGUAAACCGCUUUCGCCUGUGACGAAGCGUGAGUGACGGUAAUGGGUAAAGAAGCACCGGCUAACUACGUG
rnacentral:rRNA from 1 species